rnacentral:rRNA from 1 species
GACGAACGCUGGCGGCAUGCCUAACACAUGCAAGUCGAGCGCGAACUUCGGGUAUUGUGGCGCACGGGUGCGGCACGCGAGGGAAGAGGCCCUUGGGGUCGGAAUACCUCUCCGAGGGGGGUACCAAUACCGGAUAAUUUCUUAGACCGCAUGAUUUUUCGCCAUUGGAUGGGUCAGCGUGGGAUUAGCUAGUUGGUAGGGUAAAAGCCUACCAAGGCGACGAUCCAUAGCUGGUCUGGGAGGAUGGGCCGCCACACUGGCAAUGGGACACUGCCCAGACUCCUACGGGAGGCAGCAGUGGGGAAUAUUGGACAAUGGGCGGAAGCCUGAGCCAGCAAUGCCGCGUGAGUGAUGAAGGCCUUAGGGUUGUAAAGCUCGUUUACCCGGGAUGAUAAUGACAGUACCGGGAGAAUAAGCGCCGGCUAACUCCGUG